AUGAAGUACGUGGUGGUGACCGGCGGCGUGGUGAGCGGGCUGGGCAAGGGCGUCACCGCCAGCAGCAUCGGCGCCGUGCUCAAGGCCUGCGGCCUCCGCGUCACCACCAUCAAGAUCGAUCCAUACCUCAACACCGACGCUGGCACAAUGUCUCCGAUCGAGCACGGCGAGGUCUACGUUUUGGAAGACGGUGGAGAGGUGGACUUGGACCUUGGGAACUAUGAACGUUUUCUGGACAUCAAAUUGACCCGUGACCACAAUAUAACCACAGGAAAGGUCUAUCAGGCUGUCAUUGACAAAGAAAGGAGAGGAGACUACUUGGGGAAAACCGUCCAGGUUGUGCCACAUAUCACAGAUGAAAUUCAGGAUUGGAUCGAACGCGUGGCGAUAAAGCCGGUCGACGGUAAAGAAGGGCCUCCUGAUGUUUGUGUAAUAGAGCUCGGUGGCACUAUAGGGGAUAUUGAAUCAAUGCCUUUUAUUGAAGCAUUAGGUCAAUUUUCAUACCGUGUCGGGCCUGGAAACUUCUGCCUGGUCCACGUCAGCCUUGUUCCGGUACUAAAUGUAGUUGGUGAACAGAAAACUAAGCCUACCCAACAUAGUGUUCGUGGCCUAAGGGGACUUGGGUUGGCACCUGACAUUUUGGCAUGCCGCAGUACCGAGCCACUGGAGGAACAUGUGACAACCAAGCUCUCACAAUUCUGCAAUGUGCCAAUCCCAAAUAUUGUGAACCUCCAUGACGUUACAAACAUUUGGCAUAUCCCCUUGUUGCUAAGGGACCAGAAGGCACAUGAAGCCAUUCUGAAAGUUUUAGAUCUUCAGCUUGUUGGCAAAGUACAUCGAGAACCUAAGUUGUCUGAAUGGACCGAAAGAGCCAGCAAGUUUGACAAACUGAAAACUCCGGUUAAGAUCGCCAUGGUUGGAAAAUAUACCGGCCUGUCGGAUUCUUAUCUAUCUGUUUUAAAGGCUCUCUUGCACGCAUCAGUUGCUAUGGAAAGGAAACUUGUACUGGAGUGGGUUCCUUCCUGUGAUCUUGAAGAUUCUGCAGCCAAAGAGACCCCUGAAGCCCAUCAGAAAGCAUGGAGACUACUGAAGGGUGCGGACGGUGUGCUUGUUCCUGGAGGCUUCGGAGAUAGAGGAGUUGAGGGCAAAAUUCUCGCUGCGACAUAUGCACGGGAGAAGAAUGUUCCUUAUCUUGGCAUUUGCUUGGGUAUGCAAGUCGCUGUGAUCGAGUUUGCCCGUUCGGUUAUGAAACUAGAUGGCGCAAAUAGCACAGAGUUUGACCCGGCCACAGCAUCACCCUGUGUCAUCUUCAUGCCAGAGGGCUCCAAAACCCAAAUGGGGGCGACGAUGCGCCUUGGAUCAAGGAGGACGCAUUUCCUAGCCAAUAACUGCAAAUCCGCAAAGCUGUAUGGCAAUGCUACCUCCAUCGAUGAAAGACAUCGACAUAGAUAUGAGGUGAACCCUGAAAUGGUUCCAUUGCUUGAGAAGGCGGGUCUUUCAUUUGUUGGCAAGGAUGAAAGUGGAAGACGCAUGGAGAUCAUUGAGCUGCCGAAUCAUGUGUUCUUCAUCGGUGCACAAUUCCAUCCUGAAUUCAAGUCAAGACCAGGAAAGCCAUCUCCGCUUUUCUUAGGGUUAAUAGCGGCAGCAUCCGGACAACUAGACCUGCUGCUCAAGCGCAGCUGCGGCGUCAUCAGUUCGAAACCGACACCACCCAGAUAUAGCACCAACGGCACCGGCACUGCGGUCCUGGCCAUAAAACCUUACCUCAACGGGCACGCGAAGAAGGCACUCACCAGUUUGGUGAACGGAUGCUACGCGAAUGGCAACGGCAUCCACAUCUAA
rnacentral:rRNA from 1 species